rnacentral:miRNA from 1 species
AAGUUUUAGGCUAGUGCAAAAGUAAUUGUGGUUUUUGCCAUUGAAAGUAAUGGGAAAAACCGCAAUUACUUAGCACUAACCUAAUAA